rnacentral:lncRNA from 1 species
CACGAGUCCUUCUCUUUCAUCGCUUCGUAGUCCAUAUUUCAUUCAGGCUACUCUAAAAGACUCUUCACAAGUAGGCGCAAUCGUUGCAAUCAUUCAAGCCUUUGGAUGGAGAGAAGUUGUAACCAUUUACGAGAAUACUGAAUUUGGAGAAGGGAUUAUACCAUUUUUAACCGAUGCCUUAGAAAAGGUAAAAGUGCGUGUACCGUACAGGAGUGUCAUUCAAACUUCAGCAACAGAUGAUCAGAUCCUCGCAGAGCUUUACAAGUUGAUGGCUAUGCAAACCAGAGUUUUCAUCGUCCACAUGUUGAACCCUCUUGCUUCUCGCCUGUUCACCAAAGUGGAACAACUAGGGAUGAUGAGUAAAGAUUAUGCAUGGAUAAUAACAGAUAGCAUCACAAACGAUUUAAAUUCAAUGAACCCUUCUGUCAUAGCAUCCAUGCUAGGAGUAAUAGGAGUAAAACCUUAUGUUCCAAAUACAAAGGAACUGGAUGACUUUAUAACUCGAUACAAGAAAAGGGUUCUGCAAAGCAAUCGAAAAGCCCUUGGCGUGGACAUUUACGGGCUAUGGGCUUACGACUCGGCCAUAGCACUAGCCAUGGCAGCAGAAACUGCAGGACUAAAAAAUCUUACAUAUCAAGAAACGAACACAUCAACAAAUUCUACGGAUCUUGAAGCCAUUGGAGUAUCAAUAAGUGGACCAGAGCUCAUUCAGGCUUUAUCAAAUAUCACAUUUAGGGGCCUUGCUGGAGAUUUUCGAUUGGUCGAUGGCCAACUCCAAGCGCCUCCAUAUGAGAUAGUCAAUAUGGUUGGUCCUGGAGCUAGAGGCAUAGGAUAUUGGACAAAAGAGAACGGAAUCAUCAACAAACUGAACUUCACUAGUUCAAGCACAAAUGAAUAUUCCACUUCCAAGUCCAACCUUGGGCCUACUAUAUGGCCAGGCGACGAAUCAUUUCCACCUAAAGGUUGGGUGGUUCCUACAAGAGGGAAGAAAUUGAAGGUAGGAGUACCCGUAAAGGAUGGUUUCACAGAUUUCGUUCGUGUAACUUGGAAUUCCGACAAUUCUACAACAGUGGAAGGAUACUGCAUAGAUGUUUUUGAUGCUGUGAUGGCAGCACUGCCAUAUGGUGUGCCGUAUGAAUACAUUCCAUUUGCAACAACUGAUCACAAGAUGGCUGGUGAUUACAAUGCGCUGACCCAGCAAGUGUACCUUGGAGUAAGUAUCUUCUUUAUUACAAUGAAUUUAAAAAUCAAACACAUUUUUUUAUCAACAUAGAGCAAGAUGGUACAGCUGACCUUUUCUCUAAUCAAUCAACAGAAUUAUGACGCUGUGGCUGGGGAUGUAACAAUUCUAGCAAAUAGGUCACAGUACGUCGACUUCACUUUGC